AGGCUGAGAGAGUUUGACUUGCCCAAGAUCAUCCAGUGGGUUUACAUGGCUGAGCCAAGAUUCAAACCCUGGUCUCUGGAAUCUUAGUCCAACACUCAAACCACUACACUACGCUGGCUCUGAAUAAUUAAAUUAGUGUCUCUUUAUUUGUAGGAGAGCUAUGAACUGUGCCUCUUGCUAACUGAUUCUGGAACUGGCAGGAUGGUAAAGAACCAAAGAGCUGGUAGAGGUGGGGAACUUGGAAUAUGAAAAUGGAGAAGAUCUCUAAAAAGAAAGAGUUGUCUGGUGUUGUGGUCAAUAUUCUUUCUGUGCCAAUAUUCUUUAUGUUCCCUUGGGCCUCUUAUACUGUAAUUCUGUACACAUGUGUCUGGGAAAAGAUUCCAUUGAAGUCAGUAGUUCUGAGUAAGUAAGCUUGCAUGGGACUACACUUUCUCAUAUUUUAUGGAUUUAUAUACAUGACAGUAUUAUCUCCUCUGAGAAUUCUGUAGAAGGGUGGGGAGUAAAGUACUCACAAUAAAUCAAUAAGCAAUCUGCUACACCCUCGUUUUGUGAAAUCCACAAUACAUUUUCAUGUUGCCACAUACCUCACUAAAAUUUUAAGUGCUUUUUCAGAUUUUGUCUAUUGCAUUUGUCAAAAUAUGACUCUGCAGAGUAGCUGGGACAGUGCUCCUAUCUGUGAUUGGGACAAUCACAACUCCUUAGUGGAAACAGAUUCUGUACAGAAGAGAUGGGAAUCAUGCAGUCUAUGGAACACAGGGAACGUGUCCAUGUCUUCAGCUGAGGUCUGAAUGCAGUCCAUAUACUACAUUAAAUGAGCUUUAACAAGCUGAAGUGCAGCCAGGAAAUCUGCUCCCUUGGUGAGAGGUGUAAAUUUGCUUUUAAUGGAGUAGUGCUCUUCUUAUACUUGCUGUUGGGUGCCCAAAUAACAGCUGUGACUAGUGAGGGCAUGCCAUCUUAGCUUAGCCUAGCAUACCAACUGCAUCCAUUGGGGGGAGAGUCUGAAUUUACCCAAAGUUACAUUAAGUUGGACUUCAUGGCCCUUGAGGUCUCUUCCAAUGCUAUGAUUCUAUGAAGAUUGAAAUGUAGUGCACUCAGAGUUUGUGUGGCCAUCUUCAAAAAGUUUUCAGAAAACUCUGUUGGUUCAGAAUGCAGAAGUUUAGGGAGUGUAUAGGAACACAGUUGUUCAGUUAUGUUAUAUGCUUUGUAGAAAAUAUGUAGUGCUUAUUCUUCUAGGUGUAAUCCUGAGUGUUGGUGGUGCUGGUCUGUAAUUUAUUUAUUGUUACCUGUACUGGCUUGGGUUGAGAGUGCCUUGAAAACCACCUCAUCUUGUCUCAUUGUGUCAAGAUCCAAAUGUGUGAAGGAGAGGCCCUUUUUGCAUCCCCUGUGGAUGAAUUCUAAGUUCUCUGAGACACAAGAAGGGGCCUUUUGUGUGUUUGCAUCCCAGUUGGUGAAUUCUGUCCCACAAUUGGUUCAUCUAAACCUCUUUCUCUGUGAGAGGAGGCACCUUUGUUCAGCUUAUUGUGCAAUCAUGCCCUAAAGUUAAAUACUUUAAAAUACUUUGUUAUUAACCUUGGCAUUUUAAGAUGACUUUGAUCUAGUAAUCACAUGUCAUGCUGUCCUGUCAGUUGGGGUUUUAGUUACCAGUAGUUUAAUUAUUGUUAAAAAAUUCUUUGAAUGUUGUUACUCUCUUUGAACAUGGCUGCUUUAAAUUUAAACAUUCUUCUGGAUGUGUGUUGUUUUCCCUUCUGAAAGGAAUAUAAACAAAUCUGGUGUUAGUAAACAAAGUAUGAAUAGUUACAUUUUGUAAUCAUCAAGGGCAUAAUGUUCUCUCUGCUGAGUUACCUUUGGGCAGGAGAGUUAUGAACAUGAGAAUUAUUCUAAGAAUUACUUAUAAUUUCCCCAUUUUACAACUUUGGUUAUAUAUGAAUAAUUUGUACAUGUUCCUUACUAUUUCCACCUGACCUCCUUCUGUCCCUUUCCCAGUAAUUUUCUUUUCUUUGCAGCCUUCUCUUCUCUCAAUAACUGUUCAAGUACGGUAAUAACAAUAGUUUUAAGGUAAAGUGUGUAUAUGUUUCUGCCCCAUUUUCCACAUGAUUUGGUUGUAUGCAGGGACUGGAAGAAACAAACUUACAAGGAAGAUAAGCUCAGGUGAGGUGUGCUCUUAAACCAUAUAGCUGGGCAAGCUCUCUGUUGUGUUGAGUAUGUAAUUUGAAACCACAUGAUAGAGUUAAAGGGCAAAGCCAGCAAAUUUCUUCCUUAGUAACCUGAUCAGUCUAAAAGAGCAAGGCAACCUGUUCAAGGCCACACAUAAAUCAUGGCUGGCUGGAUUUGAUACUUUCAAAGGCUAAGUGGCAAUUACAUUCAUCUUUAAAUUAUGAUGCUUUGAUAAAUAUGAAAGUUGGAUACCCUCAUGGCACAGGAGAAAAUACUCUAUCCCUUUCCUUUGAUUUUCCCGUGCUGCAAGUCUGUGAUUGGUUUUUCCAGCUCAGGAAGUGUCUGAGCCCAUCUGUCUUUCCUCUUACUGAGUCAGAAUGAGGACUUACCAGUAGCCUAACUGAACUGCUCCAAAAUAGGAGGACUUAUCCCUGGGAAUGGUACAAUUUCAGGGUUUUGAGGAGCUUCUUUUAGCUAUUUUUU